AUAUUUUUUGGUUCAUCAGUAGGAUUAGGUACUUAUGCCUUUUCAUGAUGUGGUUCUUCUAAAAUCUUGUUUCAAUGUCAGCAUAUUACCCAUCUGACA
ensembl:snoRNA LOC120102101 small nucleolar RNA U13